GAUCUUGAUUGACAUCUCAUCUGGGGUCACCUGGUCUUCAACUGAGAGAUCUUUUGGUUCGCCACGGAUGCCCCUUGCAGUUAUGGAAGCUUCCCUGACCAGAGGUCGUUUUGAGUUUCCUUCUCUGGAAUUUGACCACUGAGCAGAGACACAUAGGACAGAAGUUGUGAAUGCUGAGUCAUCAAUCAGCAUCACUGGGAAGAAAAAGCCUCUCAGUUUCUUCUGCUGGGACUCCCAGAGCUGGAGUAUUUUCUGCUCUUCCUAAGGCCUGCAUGGUAUUAAACAAUUUAUUUGGAUAUAAAAUCAGAGGACUGGGUCUUAUAUCCCUAUGCUACUGCUUAGUACUUGUGUGACCUUGGCCAUAUCACCUAACCUUUCUGUCAUCUGUAAAAUGCGGCAAAUAAAGACACCUGCCCUGCUAACCUCAAAGACCUAUGGGGAACAUCAAAAGAAGUAUUAUAAUAAUGUGAACAUAUUUAAUAGCAAAUUAUAAAGCAGGAUGCAAAUAUUGGUUAAUCUCACCUUGUCACCCAGGCUGGAGUGCAAUGGCAUGAUCUCAGCUCACUGCAACCUCUGUUUCCCAGGCUCAAAUGAUUCUCCUGCCUCAGCCUCCUGAGUAGCUGGGAUUACAGGCGCCCGUGGACUACCAGCUUUUUAAGUGGACUUUUUAGCCAAAGGUCAAGGGAAACUACCCUCUUCC